CUGCAGCAGCAGACAAAGUCACAGUGUUGUUGUUUGCUGCUGGUGUCGGAGGACAACCACCAGCUGUUUUGCCAGGUGGUUGGAGAUAAAGUCCUGGAGGAGGAGAUCAGCUUUCCGCUGAUGUUUGGACGCUUUGGUCAAGUCGUUGAGAAGAAAAAAUCCAUAACUCUUGAGGACAUCAGUGCUGUAAGAAUCUGUGUCU